rnacentral:rRNA from 1 species
AGGGAAUCUUCCGCAAUGGACGAAAGUCUGACGGAGCAACGCCGCGUGAGCGAUGAAGGUCUUCGGAUCGUAAAGCUCUGUUGUUAGGGAAGAACAAGUACCGGAGUAACUGUCGGUACCUUGACGGUACCUAACCAGAAAGCCACGGCUAACUACGUGCCAGCAGCCGCGGUAAUACGUAGGUGGCAAGCGUUGUCCGGAAUUAUUGGGCGUAAAGCGCGCGCAGGCGGUCCUUUAAGUCUGAUGUGAAAUCUUGCGGCUCAACCGCAAGCGGUCAUUGGAAACUGGGGGACUUGAGUGCAGGAGAGGAAAGCGGAAUUCCAUGUGUAGCGGUGAAAUGCGUAGAGAUAUGGAGGAACACCAGUGGCGAAGGCGGCUUUCUGGCCUGUAACUGACGCUGAGGCGCGAAAGCGUGGGGAGCAAAC